AAAAAAGAGUUGCGAGGCAAUCUUUUUCUCCCUCUCUUGGUUUUAUUUCCAUAUUAGGAUCCUCUCAGAUUGCAGUGAAUUUAACACGUUCUAACCAGUUGUUAUGCAAUAAAUGACAAAUAACAAACAUGAAAAGUGUAACUGAGCUACCAAACCUUUAAAAAAGCAUGUUCUAAUUGAAUGUGAUUGUGUUAACAUUUACACUAUCAGUGUGAACAGAUAAACUGCUUAUCAAUAUAAACGUAUUACGUCACGUCUGGUUAGGACACAGUCCUAUUGUAAAUUCACUUUAAAAGCUUUUGCUUGCUUUAGCAUCUAUGAGACUAAUAUGCUUUUGAACUAAAUGUAAUACAAAUCAAAAUGGACAUCUUUGAAAACAAGUUAUGUUUUUGUUCACAUAUAUUCAGAUAUUCCAAUAUUAAGGGAUUUGCAAUGAAGUGAUAUUUUUCCUUAGUUUUUAAAAAUCCCAACUUGGUACAAGAGAAUUCUAUUCUUAGUAGAAUAGAACUGAAUAUAUGAAAUUACAUGUAUUACUGUUUGAAAGUUUUUUAAGAAAUACUGUUUUCUUGUUUUUUUCAGUAAGGAUGCAUCAAUCAAAAGUGACUGUAAAGACAUUUAUAAUAUUACAAUAUCCUGAAAUCAUGUCAAAGUAAUAUUUUUGUGAAAAAUAUUUAGCAGCACUGUUUUAAGCGUUGGUAACAAUAAGUAGUAAAGUUUCUUGAGCAGCAAAUCGGCAUAUCAGAAUGAUUUCUGAAGGAUCAUGUGACACUGAAGACUGGAGGAAUGAUGCUGAAAAUCUCACAGAAAUAACUUAUCUUUUAUAAUGCAUUUAAAAAAGAAAAUGGCUAUUUUAAAUUGUAAUAACCUUUCACGGUAUUACUGUUUUACUGUAUUUUUGGUCAGCCUUAAAAAUCUUACCGACCCAAAUGUUUUGAAUGGUAUCAACUACAUAACCGGAACUGAUGAUACCACUCAAACAGUGGCUAACACACAUUUAGAUAAACACUAGGCUUUUCUGGGCACCUGUUUUCACCUCAUGCAAGUGUCUUUCAACAUCUGUUUAUUCUUCUUUUAAUGCUUUCCUAAGGCUGAGCGGACAGUCAGUCAUUUUGUAUGUGGACAAAAUGAGUGAAAGCAACAACAUGGUUUAACAGACUCUUUUUUUACCACUUAUUUAUGAUGGAUUUUCUAAAGCUUUACCUUAAAACAGCCAUGAGAAGUAUAGAGGUCGUAUUACUGAAGCUUUCUAUUCAGAUGUGUUUCCAUUGUAAGGACGUCUGAGUGAUAUGUACGUCAGUGAAACAGCAUGGAAAACAAGCCACUCCUUCAUCGGCUGGCCAAAGCAAAGCUGCGUCACAGCAUCACUGCAUCCCUGAACCACUGUGCCCUCAUUUAUAAACACAAACUUUAUCAAGAAGUUACUGGAGAACCUCCCAUGAGGAAUGUUUGUUUGACUUCUGGAAGUCUGUAUUUUGUUACAAUAAUGGCCUUGUUACAUGGUUGUGUCUAUAAUUGUAUUUUAAAGAGGGCUGGAUGACUCGAAUUUCUUCUUUUUUUCUUUUCUAUCACACCCGCUGAAACUGUGUGAUAUUUACACUCUAUUUUAAAAUUAAACUAUUACUAAUCAG